rnacentral:rRNA from 1 species
GGAUUUCGAGUUAAACUCCCAACCCCUGUGACAUACCUAUACGUUGCCUCGGCGGAUCAGCCCGCGCCCCGUAAAACGGGACGGCCCGCCCGAGGACCCCUAAACUCUGUUUUUAGUGGAACUUCUGAGUAAAACAAACAAAUAAAUCAAAACUUUCAACAACGGAUCUCUUGGUUCUGGCAUCGAUGAAGAACGCAGCAAAAUGCGAUAAGUAAUGUGAAUUGCAGAAUUCAGUGAAUCAUCGAAUCUUUGAACGCACAUUGCGCCCGCCAGUAUUCUGGCGGGCAUGCCUGUUCGAGCGUCAUUUCAACCCUCAAGCUCAGCUUGGUGUUGGGACUCGCGGUAACCCGCGUUCCCCAAAUCGAUUGGCGGUCACGUCGAGCUUCCAUAGCGUAGUAAUCAUACACCUCGUUACUGGUAAUCGUCGCGGCCACGCCGUUAAACCCCAACUUCUGAAUGUUGACCUCGGAUCAGGUAGGAAUACCCGCUGAACUUAAGCAUAUCAAUAAGCGGAGGAAA